CAAACCAUCAAGAAGAGGGGCGGCAAAGAGAUGGAUGGCUGAAAUUUGGGUGCUAGGAUGGGCGCCGUCUUGGAAACCCUAAGCGCUAGGGUUUCUUCUUCUUCUUUGGGAUUGGUGGCUAGGAUUUUUGGGAGAGAGAUGCUAGGGCAUGAGAGAGAGAGAGAGAGAAGAGAGAGAAUAUCUAGGAGAAAAUGGUUUCAAUUCAUUGAUUCGUAUCAAACCAAUUACAACUUAUACACACACACACAUAUAUACAUACAAACAAUUGGUCAACAUGACCCAACCCAAAAACUUUCAAUGCUAACCCACCUGUGAUCGCACUUAUCCAAGUCCAUGUACACCCAUGACUUGUAUGCUCUCAUCCUUCUAGGACCCAAACCUAUCCCAAUAAUAGACUAGCCCCUCAAAGCCCAUAACUCCUAGGCC
rnacentral:lncRNA from 1 species